AUGAAAUCCUUUAGUAUUUCCCUAGUGGUCCUGUGGCUUCAGCUAAACUGGGUGAACAGCCAACAGAAGGUGCAGCAGAGCCCAGAAUCCCUCAUUGUUCCAGAGGGAGGCAUGGCCUCUCUCAACUGCACUUCCAGUGAUCGUAAUGUUGACUACUUCUGGUGGUACAGACAGCACUCUGGGAAAAGCCCCAAGAUGCUGAUGUCUAUCUUCUCCAAUGGUGAAAAGGAAGAAGGCAGAUUCACAGUUCACCUCAAUAAAGCCAGCCUGCAUACUUCCCUGCACAUCAGAGACUCCCAGCCCAGUGACUCUGCUCUCUACCUCUGUGCAGCAAGCA